rnacentral:rRNA from 1 species
GGCCAGACUCCUACGGGAGGCAGCAGUGGGGGAUAUUGCACAAUGGGGGAAACCCUGAUGCAGCGACGCCGCGUGGGUGAAGAAGCGCCUCGGCGCGUAAAGCCCUGUCAGCAGGGAAGAAAAUGACGGUACCUGAAGAAGAAGCCCCGGCUAACUACGUGCCAGCAGCCGCGGUAAUACGUAGGGGGCAAGCGUUAUCCGGAUUUACUGGGUGUAAAGGGGGCGCAGACGGCGAUGCAAGCCAGGAGUGAAAGCCCGGGGCCCAACCCCGGGACUGCUUUGGAAACUGCCCGGCUAGAGUGCUGGAGAGGUAAGCGGAAUUCCUAGUGUAGCGGUGAAAUGCGUAGAUAUUAGGAGGAACACCAGUGGCGAAGGCGGCUUACUGGACAGUAACUGACGUUGAGGCUCGAAAGCGUGGGGAGCAAACAGGAUUAGAUACCCUCGUAC